UCCCCGGUGGCUCAGACAGUAAAGAAUCCGCCUGUAAUGUGGGAGACCUGGGUUCGAUCCCUGGCUUGGGAA
rfam:TPA: Bos taurus chromosome 3, whole genome shotgun sequence.